rnacentral:rRNA from 1 species
GGCGAACGGGUGAGUAAUGCAUCGGAACGUGCCCAGUCGUGGGGGAUAACUGCUCGAAAGAGCAGCUAAUACCGCAUACGACCUGAGGGUGAAAGCGGGGGACCGUAAGGCCUCGCGCGAUUGGAGCGGCCGAUGUCAGAUUAGCUAGUUGGUGGGGUAAAGGCCUACCAAGGCAACGAUCUGUAGUUGGUCUGAGAGGACGACCAGCCACACUGGGACUGAGACACGGCCCAGACUCCUACGGGAGGCAGCAGUGGGGAAUUUUGGACAAUGGGCGCAAGCCUGAUCCAGCAAUGCCGCGUGCAGGAAGAAGGCCUUCGGGUUGUAAACUGCUUUUGUCAGGGAAGAAAUCUUCUGGGCUAAUACCCCGGGAGGAUGACGGUACCUGAAGAAUAAGCACCGGCUAACUACGUGCCAGCAGCCGCGGUAAUACGUAGGGUG